AGAUCUUUAAGGUGUGGUGCUCUGCCUACUGAACGCAGCCCUGGUAACUGCUUCACCCUCCAAGUGAUUCAGCAUAAUUUGCAACAUAAAACGGCGUAUGCUGGUCGCAAGAGGAUAUCCACAGUUAAACAAAGUACCAGACGAUAGUAGCGAGGACAGUGGCAGGAAGUUAUGGCUGUAAUAAAAGUACACGUAGAAUACUGUGGGAAAUGAGGGUACGCCUCCCGGUAUCGGGAACUUGCCAAAAAGGUCAAAGAGCAUGUUCCUGAUGCCGAAGUCACCGGAGCCGAAGGAAGAAGCACCAGCUUUGAGAUCACCGUGAAUGACCAGCUGAUAUUCUCCAAGUUGGAAACAAAAGGCUUUCCUUAUGCUGAAGAUAUCCUCGAUGCGGUUGAGAAAGCCAGCCGUGGAGAAACCAUCUCUAAAAUCACUAAGAAGCAGAACUGUGUUGUGAUGUAGGAUGGUUGCUUCCUGAAAAUAAGAAAUAAUUCCUACAUUUUAAUCUGGGACGCGGUUCUUAGGAUGACUGUUUGCAUUUAAACCUGCAAUGCGAACACGAAAAGAAACAAGAACCCCAUUCUCUAGGCAUUUAGAAUUGAGGAAUGCAUUUCUUGAGCUUUCUGUCAAGUAGAGUAAUUCAGCAAGGUAAAUGAGUAAAAGAAACAAACUAUAGCAGACUGCGAAGUUAAUUUACUGGAUGGAGGAGAAUUUAAUGUUCAGUGAAGGCUGCUCUGUAGUUUGUGUGUUUCUUCUAUGCUGACUGACUACAUAUUUUAAUUGUGUGUGUGUGUGUUUUUGUUUGUUUUUUCCUAUUGUAUGGUAAAAAUGUAGCAGAAGGUGACUCUCUAUUAUAAAUACUGUUGCUUAUGAACAGACAUUUUCUGUUGAAUUCAAAUCCAGUUAAUUUGAAGUAAACAUUCCCUGCUCAUAAAAAAGCACGUCGAGUUCAUGGUUUAACACAAAUGAAUGAUUUCCUAAUAUGAAUUAGGUGGAAAGUCUAUGAGUGGUUAAUAACGUACACCCAGACUACCAAAUGUUAUUAUUGUAGCGUGUUUCCUUCUGUAUUUGUAACAACUAAUAUAUUACUAUUUCCCAUGCUUGUCUUAAUAGUAAUCCACUUUUUUAUUUUUAUUUUUUAAAAUGAAUUUGGUACUUGACAAUAAAAAAAAAAAUAUAUACAAAUA